GGGCUGCCAUGUUCCAAGGCCGGCGAGCCUCACUUGCAAUGAGGCUGCGUAGAGUUCGAUUCUCUAGCGGUCCACCA
rnacentral:tRNA from 1 species